rnacentral:rRNA from 1 species
GCACAAGCAGCGGAGCAUGUGGUUUAAUUCGAAGCAACGCGAAGAACCUUACCAGGGCUUGACAUCCCUCUGACCGGACCGUAAUGGGUCCUUCCCUUCGGGGCAGAGGAGACAGGUGGUGCAUGGUUGUCGUCAGCUCGUGUCGUGAGAUGUUGGGUUAAGUCCCGCAACGAGCGCAACCCUUGUCAUUAGUUGCCAGCAGUUCGGCUGGGCACUCUAGCGAGACUGCCGGUAAUAAACCGGAGGAAGGUGGGGAUGACGUCAAAUCAUCAUGCCCCUUAUGACCUGGGCUACACACGUGCUACAAUGGGCGGUACAAAGGGUCGCGAACCCGCGAGGGGGAGCCAAUCCCAAAAAGCCGCUCUCAGUUCGGAUUGCAGGCUGCAACUCGCCUGCAUGAAGCCGGAAUCGCUAGUAAUCGCGGAUCAGCAUGCCGCGGUGAAUACGUUCCCGGGCCUU